UUUCCCUCAGGAUAGCUGGCACUCGCUUGAGCGAGUCUCAUCUGGUAAAGCGAAUGAUUAGAGGCCUUGGGGCCGAAACGACCUCAACCUAUUCUCAAACUUUAAAUGGGUGAGAUCUCUGGCUUGCUUGAACGUUGAAGCCACGAGAUUAUAUCGUAAAAUGGAUCAGAGUGCCAAGUGGGCCAAUUUUGGUAAGCAGAACUGGCGCUGUGGGA
rnacentral:rRNA from 2 species